CACCCAGGCACCCCAGGAACUGUAUUUUAAAAUAAAUGUUUAAAGUACGUUGUUACAUGCACUUUAAAAAACAUCUUACAGUACAUGUUCUUAAAUUGCAGGUAAUGCUAAAAGUUUGUGUGUUUAGUUUAUACCUUUUAUUUUACAUGCAAGCCUGAAGGUAUUUAAUUUUUAAGAUUCUAUUACACCGUGCAAUAAAAAAAAAAAAAAAAAAGUCUGAAUGAGUCUUGAGAAACUGUCAGCUUAAUGAAUCUACUCCGAUGGUCAAUCCUUGACACCUGAAAUGUACUAUUAAAAAUGCAUUGUUUGGGUCUGGGAAUGUUGGUGCUAGAACUUGGAUAUCCUCCUUCUCUGCGGAUGGUUAAUGACUAGAAAGAGAAGAGUUCCAGGGAAGCUGAUAACCAUCUGUUUCUUGCUGUGGGUGCUGGUUACAAGGUUACCCGCAGUCAACUGCUGUCCAAAGCAGAUGAUCUUCCUGACAGAGCAUCAGAAGGUCACUAGGAGCCUAGCACCAGGUCACAAUGCCGACGUCACUCACCUCACUUCUUCUCAUCCUGUAGGCAUUUUAUCUUCUCACAUCAUCACAAGAAGGCAACCAUUCAUGGAAGAGAGAAUCUCAGGCCCCCCAAAGAUUGAGUCAGAGGAUGGGCAUUACUGCCCAACAAGCUGCAGAAGAGACAAUAAAAGGGACUUGGCCUGGGCUCAUGUAGACUGAGCUGGACAUGCCCCCACGUACUAGGUUUUUCCAGACUGACACACCCUAACUGGAAAAUGUACAAAGUCACUGGAUCUGCUAUGUCUUAGCCAUUGACCUACUGAAGACCACACAGUCACCCCAGGGGCAAGAGGUGGGGUAUCCCCAGAAGGAGAAGGCACAACUACUGUCUGCCAUCCAGCGGGAGGGCCUUCCUGGGACAGGAAACGAGACCUGAGGAAAUGUGGAGCUUAGGUCCAGGAAGAGGAACACCACUUUGCUUGACUGUCCGCCAUGACCCAGCUUUGCGCACAUUAUUUCUAACCCUCGUAGAAUAGGUCAGGUCGAUCCUUGGCUUCACUGGGCCAGAAAGAAGAAGAAAGGGAAGGAUCAUUAUUCAUCUUUGUGCCUUCUGCACUCAUAGUCCCUAUUUGCCUUUCAACAGUCCAUAAGGAUUGCCGAAAAAUAGUUUCUCUGCAUGAAGUGUUAUGAUAUUAAAUCACUCUCCUAGCUCUUCUGAGCCAGUAAACAGCUGCCUUUCUGUUGGUCUGUGCAUUUGAAAGUUCUGUGCAUUCGAAAGUUCUAUGCAUACUUACCAGCACACCUAGUUCUGAUUUAACAAAUUGGCAUCCUGACAUAAUGUCAGUCUUUUGUGCCAAACUCAUUUCUACUUUUGGAGUUUCAAAUGUGCUGUUCCCUCUACAAAGAACACUGUUCCAUGCCUCCCCCUUAGUACCCAACUAAAAAUCAUACACGUCUCCUGGGACACUUCUGCCCAUCCCCAGACUACAAGGUGGAGCUCCUUUGUCCACGAGAUCAUCCUCAGCAUCCCCACGGGCCACCCCAGAGACCACAGGAGAUUCCUGUCUAGACUCUGCAUGUUGGACACACCCAUAUUGUUGAGCGUGGUCAAGACAAGAUCUUUUUUGAAACACUGGAAGUUCCUGUUCCUGUUCAGCCCUACCAGCAACUGCUGAUAAGAGCAUGUAAUUCGUUCUACCAAAUGAAGUGCAGCCAUGAGUCCUCCUUGCCAUCUCUCAAAAACUAAGUCUGUCCAGACCAUCUCUGAAGCUCAAGGUUUGGUUAUGAAGGAGUUGGCUGUUUGUUUGUUCAGACCCUUUCCCCCAAAGCUCAAGAGCCCAAUAUAUGUCAGUUUGAAUGGAAGAGAUGAGCACUGGGUGUUAUAUGUAUGUGAUGAAUCACUAAAUUCUACUCCUGAAAUAUAGUUACACUAUAUGUUAACUAACUUAGAUUUAAGCAAAAAAAAUUUAAAUUUUUUAGAAGAAAAUAAAACAUUUAGAACAUUAAAAAGAAAAAGGAUUCUUGGAUCUACCCCCAUAGACACAUCAGUCUCUAAAAAAUUAUUUUUUUAAGUAUCUAUACCUGCCAGGAUUUCUGACUUUAAGUAUGUUUUUAAUAUACUCUUUUAUUUUUUUUGUUGUUGCAUUGGCUUUAUCUCAAAUAACAAAUGUAUUAAGUUAUAUGUACAUCACAUGAUUAUUAUUAAAUUAUUAGUUUAAUUAUUAAAUUAAAAAAUGAAUGGAAAGAGGUAUAUAUUGCCCACCAGAGAUAAGAAACAGUGAUGUAACCUGCCAGGACUUUUCUCUCUAUCUCAUGACAUUCUGCCAGGCUUGUCCCCAUGAUGGCAGACUGGACUGUAGAUACUCCGGCAUCUCAUCUUUACAACGUGCAGCCAAGGAAAGGAGAAUCCUUCCAUCUCUCCGACGACAAUGAUCCUUAGAAGGAUCAUGAUUAGGGGCUCCUGGCUCAAUCGGUUGAGCGUCCAGCUUUGGCUCAGGUCAUGAUCUCACGGUUCGUGAAUUCGAGCCC